rnacentral:rRNA from 1 species
GACGAACGCUGGCGGUGUGCUUAACACAUGCAAGUCGAACGGUAUGGCCCUUUCGGGGGUACACGAGUGGCGAACGGGUGAGUAACACGUGAGUAACCUGCCCUCAUCUCUGGGAUAACAGUCGGAAACGGUUGCUAAUACUGGAUAUGAGCUUGCAAGGCAUCUUGUGGGUUGGAAAGAUUUUUUUUGGUUGGGGAUGGACUCGCGGCCUAUCAGCUUGUUGGUGAGGUAGUGGCUCACCAAGGCUUCGACGGGUAGCCGGCCUGAGAGGGCGACCGGCCACAUUGGGACUGAGAUACGGCCCAAACUCCUACGGGAGGCAGCAGUGGGGAAUAUUGCACAAUGGACGGAAGUCUGAUGCAGCAACGCCGCGUGCGGGAUGACGGCCUUCGGGUUGUAAACCGCUUUCAAUUGUGACGAAGCUUUUUUGUGACGGUAGCAGUAGAAGAAGCACCGGCUAACUACGUG